rnacentral:rRNA from 1 species
GAUGAACGCUGGCGGCGUGCCUAAUACAUGCAAGUCGAGCGAACAGAUGAGGAGCUUGCUCCUCUGUCGUUAGCGGCGGAGGGGUGAGUAACACGUGGAUAACCUACCUAUAAGACUGGGAUAAAUUCGGGACACCGGCUCAAAUACCAUAUAAUAUCUUGAACCGCAUGGUUCGAUAGUGAGUGACGGUUUUGCUGGCUCUUAUCGCUGCAUCCCCGCCGCCUUAGCUAGUUGGGAAGGUAACGGCUUACCAAGGCAACCAUGCGUAGCCGACCUGAGAGGGUGAUCGGCUACACGGGAAGUGAGACAGGGCCCAGACUCCUGGGGGAGGAAGCAGUAGGGAAUCUUACGCAAGGGGGGAAAGCGUGACGGAGCAAAGCGGCGGGAGGGAUGAAGGAGCUCGGAUCGGAAAACGAUGUUAUUAGGGAAGAACAAAUGUGUAAGUAACCAGGAAGGUAUUGACGGUACCGAAUCAGAAAGCCACGGCUAACUACGUG